GACGUAGGGGGCGAGCGUUGUCCGGAUUUAUUGGGCGUAAAGCGCGCGUAGGUGGCUUCGUAAGUCCGUUGUGAAAGUCAAAGGCUCAACCUUUGAAAGCCGGUGGAUACUGUGGGGCUAGAGUACGGAAGAGGCGAGUGGAAUUCCUGGUGUAGCGGUGGAAUGCGCAGAUAUCAGGAGGAACACCAAUAGCGAAGGCAGCUCGCUGGGACGUUACUGACACUGAGGCGCGAAAGCGUGGGGAGCAAACGGG
rnacentral:rRNA from 1 species